rnacentral:rRNA from 1 species
UACAGAGGUCCCGAGCGUUGUUCGGAUUCACUGGGCGUAAAGGGUGCGUAGGUGGUGAGGUAAGUCGGAUGUGAAAUCUCCGGGCUCAACCCGGAAAUGGCAUUGGAAACUACCUUGCUGGAGGAUUUGAGGGGGGAUUGGAAUACUUGGUGUAGCAGUGAAAUGCGUAGAUAUCAAGUGGAACACCAGUGGCGAAGGCGACUACCUGGCCUGUUCUUGACGCUGAGGCGACGAAAGCUAGGGGAGCAAACGGG